rnacentral:ncRNA from 1 species
UGAAUAUGAACAACCUUGACUCAAUGGAAUCCCACCUUUUCUUCUAGAAGAGGAAGAUCUUUUGAAAAUGAAUUAUAAAGAAUUUAAUUCUUUUCUAAUAGAAUUAUUUGAAUAUCAUCCUUCUACAAACUAUAGAAAAUUUGAAUAUUUGAGGAAGAUUCUUAUGAAUAAAAUAUGUCGUAGAUAUAAUGGUGCUAAUUGGAAGAGUUGUCACUCAAUGGAUAAAAUUUACUCUGGGGAUAACAGGUUGAUCUUCCCCAAGAGUUCACAUCGAUGUGAAGGUUUGGUAUCUUAUUGUUGACUCUUUGCCACCUAGGGUAGUCAUAUGUUUUAAAGGUUGGUUUGUUCACCCAUUAAAGUGAUAUGUGAUCUAGCUUAGGCAUUUCUCAAAUAUGCUAGCU